rnacentral:rRNA from 1 species
ACGGAGGGUGCGAGCGUUGUUCGGAAUCACUGGGCGUAAAGCGCGUGCAGGCGGGUUUUUAAGUCUGAGGUGAAAGCUCCGGGCUCAACCUGGGAAGUGCUUUGGAAACUGGAAGUCUAGAAUACGGGAGAGGGUAGUGGAAUUCCUAGUGUAGGAGUGAAAUCCGUAGAUAUUAGGAGGAACACCGGUGGCGAAGGCGGCUACCUGGUCCGAUAUUGACGCUGAGACGCGAAAGCGUGGGGAGCAAACAG